UACGUAGGGUGCGAGCGUUGUCCGGAAUUAUUGGGCGUAAAGAGCUCGUAGGCGGUUUGUCGCGUCGGCCGUGAAAUCUCCACGCUUAACGUGGAGCGUGCGGUCGAUACGGGCAGACUUGAGUUCGGCAGGGGAGACUGGAAUUCCUGGUGUAGCGGUGAAAUGCGCAGAUAUCAGGAGGAACACCGGUGGCGAAGGCGGGUCUCUGGGCCGAUACUGACACUGAGGGACGAAAGCUAGGGGAGCGAAUGGG
rnacentral:rRNA from 1 species